rnacentral:lncRNA from 1 species
UUGACACCAAAGACAGUUCCCUCUCAUCCUUGGACGCUUUCCACUACAACCCUAGACUAGAUCCUGGGAAUAUUCCCAGGAUGAUGUGGCUCUGUAUUGGAUCACAGCCUACUUCCACAGAGUUCUGGGGGCUGAGGGGGUUGUGGAGUGAGUAAGGCCAGAUCCCCUCAGCACUUUGCUCACCAGCACAGCUCAGCUUUCUUGCUCUGCCAUCAGUCACAUCUCUCGCUCCCCGCCUCCUGCCUCCCUCCUUCACUUUUAGGGAUGCUUGGUUCACACUGGGUCCAUCCAGAUAAUUCAAAAUCAUCUCUCAUCUCUGAGCCCAAGCUAAGCCAUCAUAUCCCCUGUGACCUGCACAUACACAUCCAGAUGGCCGGUUCCUGCCUUAACUGAUGACAUUCCACCACAAAAGAAAUGAAAAUGGCCUGUUCCUGCCUUAAC